UGGUCGGCUCCUCUCAAAUUUAUCAGCUUGCCAGUGUCUGGUGGCAUCACAGGUGUGAUAACUAUCUACGCUUGUGGUUUUCCACCAGGUAACCUUCAGUGAUAUGGAGGUUCGCUGGAGCUCAUAAACGUCUCUCCUCAGCGAGGACAUCUUUUUGAACGUUUGAUCUCAAAUCAGGUAGGGCUACCCGCUGAACUUAA
rnacentral:misc_RNA from 1 species